GAGCAGGGGAAAGAAGCAGCCUCCACCUGCUAAAGGGAAGGGGGGUAGAAGGAAAGGAGAGGAUCAGCUGCUCCCAGUCAAGCUGUCUUCCCUGUGCAUGAAGAUGUCUCUGUUGUUCCUGCUCUGUGAAAGCCCCACUUGAGGCUAGUGAGGUGCUCAGGAAGAAGGCUAUAAGAGUGGCUGAUUGGGCAAAGAGCUGAGAGAGUGUUUGUGGAAAGUGCAAAAUUGUCAGUGGCAGCCACGUGGAAGCUUAACAGAGUUCCAGAAAAAUGAAAUCCACGUGCCUCUUGGUGGGAAGAAGAGCUGCUACACCCCAGGAAUUUUGAAAUUGUGAAAGGCUGAGGAAGAUGUGGAGCCCACAGCGGGGUCACCUGGUGGUGUGUCCAGUCAGGAGCUGUUCUACAUUCAGGAGGUGUCUUGCUAGCCUUGGGAGUCACCUUCUGGUGAGCCAGAAAGAGAGGAGACCCCUGACAUGACCUUGAGAACACCACCCCCAACAGCAGAGUGUCUGCGCCAAAUAAGAGAAUGCCCAAGGUGGAGCAAAGAAGAUAUGUUCUGGGAGGUGCUGCUGCAGUCAGAGGCAGACAAGACUGAAUUCAAGAAGUGGAGGGAAAGCAACAAAAGAGGGAAAGCAGGAAAGAAAAGAAAAUUGUGCGUACAAUAGGGACGCCAUGGAGAGGCUGAUAAAAGUUUUGGCGCAUCAAACCGACAUGAUCCAGUCUCUCCAGACUGAGCAGAUGCAUGCCCAUCCUCCCUUUCAUCACAUUCAGAACUCUUUCCCGUGUACUCCACAAAGUCCCCCCAUGCAUCCCUUUCUGCUUACUGGCACUUUGCACUUUCCUCUACGUUCCACCCCGCAGACAGCUUUUCAAAUGAAAACUGGACUUAUGCUCAGCUCUGAAAGUCAGCCCUCCCGGUACCUUC